GAUGAACGCUGGCGGCGUGCUUAACACAUGCAAGUCGAACGGAAAGGCCCAAGCUUGCUUGGGUCCUCGAGUGGCGAACGGGUGAGUAACACGUGGGUGAUCUGCCCUGCACUUCGGGAUAAGCCUGGGAAACUGGGUCUAAUACCGGAUAGGACGAUGGUUUGGAUGCCAUUGUGGAAAGUUUUUUCGGUGUGGGAUGAGCUCGCGGCCUAUCAGCUUGUUGGUGGGGUAAUGGCCUACCAAGUCGUCGACGGGUAGCCGGCCUGAGAGGGUGUACGGCGACAUGGGGACUGAGAUACGGCCCAGACUCCUGCGGGAGGCAGCAGGGGGGAAUAUUGCACAAUGGGCGCAAGCCGGAUGCAGGGACGCCGCGUGGGGGAUGACGGCCGUCGGGUUGUAAGCUCCUAAGGCUAGGUACGAAGCGUUUUUGUGACGGUACCGGGAGAAGAAGCACCGGCUAACUACGUG
rnacentral:rRNA from 1 species